rnacentral:rRNA from 1 species
AACGGCCGCGGUAUCCUAACCGUGCAAAGGUAGCAUAAUCAUUUGCCUAUUAAUUGUAGGCUGGAAUGAAGGGGUUAACGAAAUAAAAGCUGUCUCAAUUAAUUAACUAAAAAUUAUUUUCUAUCUGAAGAAAGGUAGAUAAUCUCGAAGGACAAGAAGACCCUAUAGAGCUUAAUUUUAUUAUAGAACUAUACUAUAUAAAUAUUCGGUUGGGGCGACCCAGGGCUAAUUAAUCACCCAUUAAAUAAAAGAUAUAUAAAUCUAAUAAAUGACCCUUUAAAGAUCAUAAAAACAAGCUACCUUAGGGAUAACAGGCUAAUCCCACUUAAGAGUCCUUAUCAAUAGUGGGGUUUGGCACCUCGAUGUUGGCUUAGG